CUCCGAUUCAGACGUCCGAUUCCUCAUCGGGAAGAACUCUGUCGAAGAAACGCGAAUGUAGUGCUCCCUGCUCCUCCUCCGUGGCGUCCCCCUGACUCCCCCCAGUCCGUGACUCCGGGUGUGUCUCCGCCCCUUCCUGUCCCAGUCCUGUGUCGUCCCCGCUGCUGGACUUCCUGUGACGGCGGGACGGAGGACGCCGCCUGAUGGAGCCCCGUGGUCUGCCCUGGAGAGGGACCAAUCACAGGAGAGGUCAGCAGUGACGUCAUUAGUGAUGUAACAGAGGUAACUCUCACCUGGUUCCCCACGGUGCCGCUUGGGUCAGGAGCCUGACCUUUGAACUUUCCUGCCAGUUCGGCCACAGAGCGGCGGGGCGGAGCCUCGUUCUGCAGAAAAGAAUCCAUGUUCCCGCCUCUGGCUCCAGAACCUGCUGGCUUAACUCCCAGUCCAGAUACUGGUCUCUACUGGUUUCUGCAGUGGUCAGUGUGGCUCAGUGCUGCCACCU